rnacentral:rRNA from 2 species
CUCUCGGCAACGGAUAUCUUGGCUCUCGCAUCGAUGAAGAACGUAGCGAAAUGCGAUACUUGGUGUGAAUUGCAGAAUCCCGUGAACCAUCGAGUUUUUGAACGCAAGUUGCGCCCGAAGCCUUCUGGCCAGGGCACGUCUGCCUGGGCGUCACG